rnacentral:rRNA from 1 species
GUCGAACGGAGAUUACAGGCGGAAGUUUUCGGAUGGAAGCUUGUAAACUUAGUGGCGGACGGGUGAGUAACACGUGAGCAACCUGCCUAUCAGAGGGGGAUAACGAUUGGAAACGAUCGCUAAUACCGCAUGACAUAGCGGAACCGCAUGGUUCUGUUAUCAAAGAUUUUAUCGCUGAUAGAUGGGCUCGCGUCCGAUUAGAUAGUUGGUGGGGUAACGGCCUACCAAGUCGACGAUCGGUAGCCGGACUGAGAGGUCGAACGGCCACAUUGGGACUGAGACACGGCCCAGACUCCUACGGGAGGCAGCAGUGGGGGAUAUUGCACAAUGGGGGAAACCCUGAUGCAGCGACGCCGCGUGAGGGAAGACGGUCCUCUGGAUUGUAAACCUCUGUCUUCGGGGACGAAACGAGACGGUACCCGAGGAGGAAGCCACGGCUAACUACGUGCCAGCAGCCGCGGUAAUACGUAGGUGGCAAGCGUUGUCCGGAAUUACUGGGUGUAAAGGGAGCGUAGGCGGGCAGGCAAGUCAGGCGUGAAAUAUAUCGGCUCAACCGGUAACGGCGCUUGAAACUGCAGGUCUUGAGUGAAGUAGAGGUUGGCGGAAUUCCUAGUGUAGCGGUGAAAUGCGUAGAUAUUAGGAGGAACACCAGUGGCGAAGGCGGCCAACUGGGCUUUUACUGACGCUGAGGCUCGAAAGUGUGGGGAGCAAACAGGAUUAGAUACCCUGGUAGUCCACACCGUAAACGAUGAUUACUAGGUGUGGGGGGACUGACCCCUUCCGUGCCGGGGUUAACACAAUAAGUAAUCCACCUGGGGAGUACGGCCGCA